AUGGGGCGUCACCACCACGCCAGAUCCCUUCCUCGCCGCCAACAGCAGCCGGCGGGCCAGAUCGGGCGCGGACCAAAUCUGGCGCCUAAGCACCCGCACGCCUACGCCGCAGCCACGGCCGGCCAAGCUCCAGGCCACGCCACUCCACCCACCCAGAGAAGGAGAAGCGCGAGACGAAGCAGAGGGCCGCCGGGGAGCGCCGCGACGGCCGCAGCGCCGGAGGCCGAGCCUUCCCCACCUGGAGCGGUCGCCGUCGUGGAACGACGCCGCGCGCGCGAGCGGGAAGCCCCGCCGCCGCCGUCCGCCGCGCGGGCUUCGCCCGGCGGUUUCCUCCGGCGGCGGCGCGGCAGGGGAGCCGGGGAGAGGGGGUGGCGNNNNNNNNNNCGCGCGCGAGCGGGAAGCCCCGCCGCCGCCGUCCGCCGCGCGGGCUUCGCCCGGCGGUUUCCUCCGGCGGUGGCGCGGCAGGGGAGCCGGGGAGAGGGGGUGGCGGCGCGGCGGGCUAGGGUUCCCCCAAGUCGCCUCCCAGGCGACGCGGGGGUACCAAAAUAUAGCCUAAAUGAGAAAGAAAAGAAAAAGAAACCAACAUGCAGCCUUUACUGGUUUGGAAAUGUGACAACUCAUCGGUCGUCACCAUCUCAUCAUGUCAUCAAUGCUCCUAGCUCAUCCGUGAAGCAGAGAUGGGGAUCGGAUAUGCACCCCCGUGAUGAAUUGGCACAGCCAAAUUCUCAUGUCAACUCUUCUCGUCGCCUAUAA
rnacentral:rRNA from 1 species